CUACAAAUUUUCCCUUUUAGGAUGCGCCAGUUUUAUAUUUAUAAACAUGCAACAAGUUGAUCUUCUGCUGACGUGUUUGUAAAAUCAACUUGUUGUUUAUAAAUAUAAAACUGGUGCAUCCUAAAAGGGAAUAAUUUGUAGUGUAUGCAA